ACAUACGACCAUAGACUCAAGAGAAUUGGGCAUCCCGUCCGCUCUGCCAUACACAAGCUCGAGAUCGGUGGAUUAGUAGUUGGGUGGGUGACCACCAGCGAAUACCCACUGUUGUAUGUU
rnacentral:rRNA from 1 species